UACGGGGGGGGCAAGCGUUGUUCGGAAUUACUGGGCGUAAAGGGCGCGUAGGCGGCCAACUAAGUCAGACGUGAAAUCCCUCGGCUUAACCGGGGAACUGCGUCUGAUACUGGAUGGCUUGAAUCCGGGAGAGGGAUGCGGAAUUCCAGGUGUAGCGGUGAAAUGCGUAGAUAUCUGGAGGAACACCGGUGGCGAAGGCGGCAUCCUGGACCGGCAUUGACGCUGAGGAGCGAAAGCCAGGGGAGCAAACGGG
rnacentral:rRNA from 1 species